GACGAACGCUGGCGGCGUGCUUAACACAUGCAAGUCGAACGGAAAGGCCCUGCUUGCAGGGUACUCGAGUGGCGAACGGGUGAGUAACACGUGGGUGAUCUGCCCUGCACUUCGGGAUAAGCCUGGGAAACUGGGUCUAAUACCGGAUAGGAGCCAUUUUUAGUGUGAUGGUUGGACAGUUUUUUCGGUGUAGGAUGAGCUCGCGGCCUAUCAGCUUGUUGGUGGGGUAAUGGCCUACCAAGGCGGCGACGGGUAGCCGGCCUGCGAGGGUGGACGGCCACAUUGGGACUGAGAAACGGCCCAGACUCCUACGGGGGGCAGCAGGGGGGAAAAUUGCACAAAGGGAGCAAGCCUGAUGCAGCGACGCCGCGUGGGGGAUGACGGCCUUCGGGUUGGAAACUCCUUUCGCUAGGGACGAAGCUUUUUGUGACGGUACCUAGAUAAGAAGCACCGGCUAACUACGUG
rnacentral:rRNA from 1 species